AGUUUGAACCCCCGAAACUAGAUGAGCUACUUCGGAAUAAUUCUAGGAACUAACCCGUCUCUGUCGCAAAAGAGUGGGACAAUUCCCAAGUAGAGGCGACAAACCUACCGCACCUAGAGAUAGCUGGUUAUUCAAGAAAAGAAUUUAAGUUCAACCUUAAGUUUUUAUAUUAAAUAAAAAACAAAACUUUAGAGUUACUCAAAUAAGGCACAGCUUAUUUGAAAUAGAACACAACCUACAAUAUAGGGUAAUACAUAAUAAUUGUAUAACAAGUGGGCCUAAAAGCAGCCACCUUCAAAAAAGCGUUAAAGCUUACUACCUACUUUAUUUUAAUACCUCUUCCUUUCACUAACCCUUCACCUGUAUUGAAUGACUCCAUAAACCUAUGGAAAAUUUUAUGCUAGAACUAGUAACAAGAAAUAGAUUUUCUCCUAAAUGUAAACUUAAGCCACAAUAGACAAACUACCGGCAAUUAACAUAAAUGAACAUAAUACAGCAACCCCAACAAGAAAACCCUGUUUAUACAUAACGUUAUCCUUACACCAGAACAUUUAAGGAAAGAUUAAAAGA
rnacentral:rRNA from 1 species